GUGGGGAAUAUUGGACAAUGGGCGCAAGCCUGAUCCAGCCAUGCCGCGUGAGUGAUGAAGGCCUUAGGGUUGUAAAGCUCUUUUGUCCGGGAAGAUAAUGACUGUACCGGAAGAAUAAGCCCCGGCUAACUUCGUGCCAGCAGCCGCGGUAAUACGAAGGGGGCUAGCGUUGCUCGGAAUCACUGGGCGUAAAGGGCGCGUAGGCGGACUCUUAAGUCGGGGGUGAAAGCCCAGGGCUCAACCCUGGAAUUGCCUUCGAUACUGAGAGUCUUGAGUUCGGAAGAGGUUGGUGGAACUGCGAGUGUAGAGGUGAAAUUCGUAGAUAUUCGCAAGAACACCAGUGGCGAAGGCGGCCAACUGGUCCGAUACUGACGCUGAGGCGCGAAAGCGUGGGGAGCAAACAGGAUUAGAUACCCUUGUAGUCC
rnacentral:rRNA from 1 species